rnacentral:tRNA from 1 species
GAGGGUAUAGUUUAGUGGUAAAGUGUGUGCUUAGCAUGCAUGAGGUCCUGGGUUCAAUCCUUAGUCCCUCCA